rnacentral:misc_RNA from 1 species
GGCGGCGGGGGGUGGUGUUAAUCAAAAGAGUGAUGUGAGACAUAUGUAAAAAAAAAUUUCAAUUUUAUUUUUCUUUUUAUUUGGUGUCAUGUUUGUGUGGGUUGGGAAAGUUACAUAGAUGAAUUGAAAAGAAGGGAGUAAAUCUGAUUGUUGUCAUUCGAAUAGUGAUGAGAUGUUGAUGGUGGUAUGAUAGGUUGAUAAAACUCAGAAAUUGGAAUCUAAGUAGGCCCUCAAAUUUUUGGCUUGUUAAUCUGACCUUUUUGAGUUGG